rnacentral:rRNA from 1 species
CCUACGGGUGGCUGCAGUGAGGAAUAUUGGUCAAUGGGCGCAAGCCUGAACCAGCCAAGUCGCGUGAGGGAUGACGGUCCUAUGGAUUGUAAACCUCUUUUGUCGGGGAGCAAGGCCCGCCACGUGUGGCGGGAACGAGAGUACCCGAAGAAAAAGCAUCGGCUAACUCCGUGCCAGCAGCCGCGGUAAUACGGAGGAUGCGAGCGUUAUCCGGAUUUAUUGGGUUUAAAGGGUGCGUAGGCGGAAGGUUAAGUCAGCGGUAAAAUGUCGGUGCUCAACACCGGCCUGCCGUUGAAACUGGUGUUCUUGAGUGAGCGAGAAGUAUGCGGAAUGCGUGGUGUAGCGGUGAAAUGCAUAGAUAUCACGCAGAACUCCGAUUGCGAAGGCAGCAUACCGGCGCUCAACUGACGCUGAGGCACGAAAGCGUGGGGAUCGAACAGGAUUAGAUACCCCAGUAGUC